GAUGAACGCUGGCGGCGUGCCUAAUACAUGCAAGUCGAGCGAACGGACGAGAAGCUUGCUUCUCUGAUGUUAGCGGCGGACGGGUGAGUAACACGUGGAUAACCUACCUAUAAGACUGGGAUAACUUCGGGAAACCGGAGCUAAUACCGGAUAAUAUUUUGAACCGCAUGGUUCAAAAGUGAAAGACGGUCUUGCUGUCACUUAUAGAUGGAUCCGCGCUGCAUUAGCUAGUUGGUAAGGUAACGGCUUACCAAGGCAACGAUGCAUAGCCGACCUGAGAGGGGGAUCGGCCGCACUGGAACUGAGACACGGACCAGACUCCUACGGGAGGCAGCAGUAGGGAAUCUUCCGCAAUGGGCGAAAGCCUGACGGAGCAACGCCGCGUGAGUGAUGAAGGUCUUCGGAGCGUAAAACUCUGUUAUUAGGGAAGAACAUAUGUGUAAGUAAAUGUGCACAUCUUGACGGUACCUAAUCAGAAAGCCACGGCUAACUACGUG
rnacentral:rRNA from 1 species